rnacentral:rRNA from 1 species
UACGUAGGGUGCGAGCGUUGUCCGGAAUUAUUGGGCGUAAAGAGCUUGUAGGCGGUUUGUCGCGUCUGCUGUGAAAACCCGAGGCUCAACCUCGGGCCUGCAGUCGAUACGGGCAAACUAGAGUGCGGUAGGGGAGACUGGAAUUCCUGGUGUAGCGGUGAAAUGCGCAGAUAUCAGGAGGAACACCGGCGGCGAAGGCGGGUCUCUGGGCCGUAACUGACGCUGAGGAGCGAAGGCGUGGGGAGCGAACAGG